GACGAACGCUGGCGGCGUGCCUAAUACAUGCAAGUAGAACGCUGAAGGAGGAGCUUGCUUCUCCGGAUGAGUUGCGAACGGGUGAGUAACGCGUAGGUAACCUGCCUGGUAGCGGGGGAUAACUAUUGGAAACGAUAGCUAAUACCGCAUAAGAGUAGAUGUCGCAUGACAUUUGCUUAAAAGGUGCAACUGCACCACUACCAGAUGGACCUGCGUUGUAUUAGCUAGUUGGUGAGGUAACGGCUCACCAAGGCAACGAUACAUAGCCGACCUGAGAGGGUGAUCGGCCAAACUGGGACUGAGACACGGCCCAGACUCCUACGGGAGGCAGCAGUAAGGAAUCUUCGGCAAUGGACGGAAGUCUGACCGAGCAACGCCGCGUGAGUGAAGAAGGUUUUCGGAUCGUAAAGCUCUGUUGUAAGAGAAGAAAGAGUGUGAGAGUGGAAAGUUCACACUGUGACGGUAUCUUACCAGAAAGGGACGGCUAACUACGUG
rnacentral:rRNA from 1 species